UACGUAGGCAGCCAGCGUUGUCCAGAGUUACUGUGCGUAAAUAGCUCGUAGGUGGUUUGGCUCGUUGGUCGUGAAAACUCCCAGCUUAACUGUGGGCGUGCGGGCGAUCCGGGCAGACUGGAGUACUGCAGGGGAGUCUGGAAUUCCUGGCGUAGCGGUGGAAUGCGCAGAUAUCAGGAGGGACGGCGGUGGCGAAGGUGGGUCUCUGGGCAGUAACUGCCGCUGAAGAGCCAGAGGGUCGGGUGCGAACAGG
rnacentral:rRNA from 1 species